GUGAGGGAGGGACUGAGAGGGAGAGCGCGUGCGUGAGCGAGCGUGAGUGAGGGAGAAGGCGAAGCGUGGAAACGUACAGCGCGCGCACCGUCACCACGGAGCAGCGCUUUGAUCUCCAAAGCUCAGGACGAGGCAGCAGGGUGUCACUUGGCAGGAUUAGCGUUACAUGUUGAAGCUUGAAGCGUAGAUGAAGAGGUGAGAGAGCUGGAUCGUCUAAAGCAGUAAAGCGCUGCUGCAUCGCUGUGUUUUUAGAUCAAAGCGAUCGUCUCUGCCGCCGCCGCCAUCAGCAGACCGACGGCUCGCGUUUCUGAUCGAGACCGACC
ensembl:lncRNA